rnacentral:lncRNA from 1 species
UAUAUCUUAUAUAUGCAGUAUAGUGAUGUUUGGCAGUAAUUACUGAAAAGCUGUAUGUUUAGUAAAACGGCGAAGAUGGAAUCAUGUACUUUUCAAGUAAGUUACUCAUGUGCAUGCGAUAACUUAACAAAGGUUAAGGGACUUUUAUUAUGAAAAUGAUCCUAGUAAGAUCAGUUUCACAUUUAACGGCGCAUAUCUAAUCUAAAAAGCCGAACUAUUAAAUCAAGCGAUAAUUCCCGAAAGUUCAUCAAAAUUGUUGAGGCUUGCGAUUGAUAAGCAGUGACCAUGCAGACAUGGACACAAACUCACCCGAUAAAUUGUUUGCGUUCACCUGUACAAGC